rnacentral:rRNA from 1 species
AUUGAACACUGGCGGCAGGCCUAACACAUGCAAGUCGAACGAGUGGCGGACGGGUGAGUAAUGUCUGGGAAACUGCCCGAUGGAGGGGGAUAACUACGGGAAACAGUAGCUAAUACCGCAUACCAUCGGAUGUGCCCAUAUGGGAUUAGCUAGUAUGUGGGGUAACGGCUCACCUAGGCGACGAUCACUAGCUGGUCUGAGAGGAGGACCAUCCACACGGGAAAUGAGACAGGUUACAGACUCCUACGGGAGGCAGCAGUGGGUAAGAUUGCACAAUGGGCGAAAGCCUGAUGCAGCCAUGCCGCGUGGAUGAAGAAGGCCUUCGGGUUUUAAAGUACUUUCAGCGAGGAGGCGUUACUCGCAGAAGAAGCACCGGCUAACUCCGUGCCAGCAGCCGCGGUAAUAA